UUUCCUUUGAUUUCUUCUUGUGGCUCCUAGACAGCAAAGUGAUGCCUACAUCUAAGCAACAUGACUCCAAGAACUGGGGAAGAGGAAGGUGCAGUUCAGUAAUAUGGGUGGUACAACAGCCCUGCCUGGUCAUCUGGUGGGAAUGGAGUUCAGAGAGAACGCCAUUGAAUCCUGAGUGUCCUGCCAUAUCCAUAGGGCCUGGAACAUUAUCACUGCCCAGUUUAUAAAAGGGAGGUCAGUGCUAGAAUUAGCCCUAAACCGAGUCCACUGCUACACUACUUCUGAGAAGAUGGUCCUGAAUGAAAGGGGACCCUGAGCACUGACAGCUGUAUUCCAGCACAGGGUGAAAAGCACCAAGAAGUGACUUCCAGUACUAUCCUGAGCGGCCACUGAAAACAGAAGCCUUCUUGUCCGGCUUUUGUUCUCAAAUAGCCAAUAAGAACUGAUAAGCGCUGGCACCAUUGUCUGUAAUAAAUGUGUUUUCAACC
ensembl:lncRNA